AUUGAACGCUGGCGGCAGGCCUAACACAUGCAAGUCGAGCGGAAGAAGGGAGCUUGCUCCUGGAUUCAGCGGCGGACGGGUGAGUGAUGCCUAGGAAUCUGCCUGGUAGUGGGGGAUAACGUCCGGAAACGGGCGCUAAUACCGCAUACGUCCUGAGGGAGAAAGUGGGGGAUCUUCGGACCUCACGCUAUCAGAUGAGCCUAGGUCGGAUUAGCUAGUUGGUGGGGUAAAGGCCUACCAAGGCGACGAUCCGUAACUGGUCUGAGAGGAUGAUCAGUCACACUGGAACUGAGACACGGUCCAGACUCCUACGGGAGGCAGCAGUGGGGAAUAUUGGACAAUGGGCGAAAGCCUGAUCCAGCCAUGCCGCGUGUGUGAAGAAGGUCUUCGGAUUGUAAAGCACUUUAAGUGGGGAGGAAGGGCAGUAAGUUAAUACCUUGCUGUUUUGACGUUACCAACAGAAUAAGCACCGGCUAACUUCGUG
rnacentral:rRNA from 1 species